UAAGCAGAAGUCUUUUUUAUUAAGUUUAGAAUCUGUGCAGUGUUUUACUUUUCACACUAACAAAGUUGGGUUACAGCAGAACUUCUAACACUUGUAUUACCUGCAUACUUGCAUGCAUGGUUCCUUAAAUGAGUCGCAACAACUGAUUUACACAGUGGGAUUUAACAAAGAAACGUGUGAACCUUCACUUCAUUUAACACAGUGUGUGUUGUGAACAAGGAACAGGACAGGCUGGGAAAAGUAUGUGAGGCUUGAUGUUUAGUAACUAGUGGAACCUCCUUAGGCAGCCAUUAGCCUGUAGUCGCUGAUCAGACAGUUCACCCACAGGAGGUAUUUUAGACCAUUCCUCCCUUGUGGAUGCAUUGACACAGAUGUUAGAUAGUACCAGUGAGGCCUACAGGUAGGUGCUACCUGUUGGGUCCUUUGUCACCUCCCUGACUGUUAUACAACGUGCCCUUGCUGGGGAGAGUGGCAGUGGCUCAGACUUUUCUCUAUUUUUACACAGUCUUGUAUGUCUAUAGACUGGUGGAGGCUUCUGUAGCGUUUUCCCGAAGUUCGAGCUUCAGCAAAUCUUCUACUGAAUAGUCUAUGAUGACAUUUCACCGGGUCGUACUCCACUUGAACAGAUCUCUAUUUUGAGGAGCAGACGUUGGGAAUAAAACCUUUCUUCCACGACAUGACACCUCUAACUCACACUUGGGUGUCAUCGAUCGGGUCACCAGACUUGAAGUGAUUUAAACGUCUAUUCACAUGUGGCACUCAUUCGCCCAGUGUGUUAUGGACCGCGGACCGAGGAGGGGCUCGUCACCAUAAAUACGGCAGCCGGGUGGCUAAGCUUGAUCACGUGACCAUAAUGAGACGCCUUGGGGGAGGGGCCACAGGACUGGCAUCUGAUGACACGCGAGACACAGAACGCAACCGAUCUACAUGUGACCCCCGUCUGGCCAAUGAAUGAACAGUAAGAGCAAUGACACGAAUGUCACGUGACUUGUACUGUAUGAAAACAGUGCAACGUGGGAUUAUCAUGGGGCCUUGAGCAAAAUAAACCCAACUCUGAUUGUCCUUCAGCAUGAUAAUUGUCCAAAUAUUGGAACCGCGGAGUAGCAGACAAAGCUGACGUUUGGUUGAAUGGAUUCUUAUGACAUCUACACAAGAGCAAGCCAAGGUCACGUUCAGGGACUAAACAUUUUUGUAUUAAUUUUUUGCCUUUAGCCUGCCUUUAUUCCCAAUUUGUGAUUUAGGCCCUGGUUCAUUACAGCACCUCCCAGCGGCAGUGAUGGAGCUUAGCGUUCUCUCCCAUGGGUACGAAACUGUGAUUGGCUGCCAUCGCGCCCAUUUAAAGCACUGCAUCUGCCCAGCGGACUCCUAGCAUCUCCCAUUACUCCCAGAAGUAAAUCGCUCAACACGGAAGUCUAGCCCGGAAUCCCAAACUCAAAUCAGCUUGCGGGCGCUCGAGGAAUUGCUAGUGCGCGACGAGGCAAGGCAACCAUGUGCCAUAAACAAUCCUAUAAAACGGGACAAUGCUGGCAAAUUGCACCGCCCUCUACGAGACCCCAGGGCUAAUCCGUGAGUCGGACUUAGAACCGCUGUUUCACAAUGGCACCGCUGCGCCACACGGGGGAACCCAGAUGUAGUGCCCGUUUGUAAGUGAAGGCUUCUUCCUAUGCUGGGGACGCAGCGACUUUCUAUUCAUUUCCCCAGAGGGCAGCUGCAUGCACAUGUUUGAAUCUGAAGACCUCUGUGAAGAGCUGUUGACUAAUGGGGUGGUGGGGUGGAUUCAUAUGGUUAGAGCAUCUGACCAGUGAUAGAAAAUGUUGCUAGAUCAAAUCCCCAAAAACAGCGAGGUGAAAUAUUUGCCGUGCCUCACCUGAGCAAGGCAAAUAAACCUCAUCGGUGUCCUAGGUCGUAUGAGUAAAUGAGAACUUGUUCCCAGUCAGGUUAUCUGGCGAAAACUGGUCAUACAUAAAUAAAAAUGAAUGGUUAAAAAAAUAAAUGAGUAAGAAUCCCAUUGUGGGAUGGGUUUGACUGGUUUGUAGAUGUGAAUCACGAUAACUUGAGUCCGGUUUGGGGCUGUUCACACUUGCUUGUGGAUGUUGAGUGGAUCUUCCCAAGGUGGAAAAGAUGUGUUCUUUACAAACGUCAACAUGGAUCGGCAUGAAAAAAUAUAGCAAUCACCUAAUGAGAGAGGGACAUGGGGUCAGAGAGAUCAGUGGGUGGAUUCAACAAUAUUUAGCGUGUGUUUAUCCCCCAGUAUUUGUCUAAGGGCUAAUGUAAACGUAAAACUAAAUACAGGAUUAUUCAAUUUCCCAAAACAACACUACAUUCCUAUCAGGACUGAUGAUAGGCACUUAAUAAAAAUUCUAAAUAGUUUCCGUCUGCAUCUUACAAAAUGCAACUGUUCACAAACAGAAUUACAAAUUACGCCAUCCUCUAAUUUUAAUAUGUAUUUAACGUGCACGCUUGCCAGUGUUAACUCACACAGCCAAUAUGAGGGAUUUCCUGAGCACUGUACCCGACACAUAGAACAUGUCAUCAGGCAAGGUGGAGAUGCCCCCACCCGACGUCCUGCAGGGGGAGACGGUACUGAGGUAAGUCCAACACAUUUUGUAUUAUUUUGUCAGGCAAAUCGAAUAAAACAUGAUGGAGAAACCUGAUGUGCCCCUAAAACAAAAUACAACAUUUGGGGUUUCAGGCUGGGUGUAUUUGUGUAUUUAUAACUCCACCUUGGUUUGCCACUGGGGGAACUGUGGGUGACAAAAAAGGAACAAAUUAAACUCAGGAUGACAUAUUAAGGAAUUAAGGAAGAUUAUUAUUUUCUGUGUUGACAGUUAGGGGUUUACCAUAAUAUGUGUGUGUGUGUCUGUCUGUCUGUGUGUGUAUGUGUGUGUGUGUGUGUGUGUGAGAGAGAGAGAGAGAGAGGUUUGACAAAAUCUUUAUUAUUUCAUCAGGCAAAAUUGACAUAACAUGAUGGAGAAACCUAACAUGUCCCCUUAAAACAAAAUUCAACAUUUGGGGUUUCAGGGUGGGUGUCUGUAAAGGCAACUGCUGAUUUAAAAAGGGCUUCAUAAAAUAACUUGAUUGAUAAAUAAAUGUUUUUGUUCAAAUAUUUCACACAUCAACACAGAGAUAAGGGAUUAGAAACUAACAUCCUGACUAAGAGGUGGCUACGGUCAUGUGUUUCUAACCUCAGGGAAUUCAGCCCAUACCUUGUGUAUUUAUAACUCCACCUUGGUUUGCCACUGGGGGAACUGUCGGUUACAAAUAAGGAACAAAUUAAACUCAGGAUGACAAAUUAAAGAAUUAAGGAACAUUAUAAUUUUCUGUGUUGACAGUUAGGGGUUUACCAUAGUGUGUAUGUGUGUGUGUGUGUGGUUUGAAAAUGAGUUAGGACCUACAGCCCUCACAUGGAUAGUAAAUCAACCGUAAGAACAGUCCUUAUUGGGGUGAGGGUUAGACAUUAGGACAAAGAUAAAUUAUGGCCAGAAUGUUAGGUUGUUGAGGUUAAGUUUAGGAUUAUGUUGAAGGUUAAGAUUAAGGUUAGGUUAUGUUUAGGUUUGGAUUAAAUUUAGGUUAAGAUUAAGAUAAAUGUUAGGCUUAAAGUUAAAUUAGUGUUAAGAUUAAGGUUAGUGUUCAGAUUAAGGUUAUAUUAGUGUGGAGAUUAAGGUUAGGUUAAGGUUAGUGUUAAGAUUAAGGUAAGGUUAAGGUUAGGGUUAACAUUAUGGUUAGGUUAAAGUUAAUAUUAUGAUUUGGUUAAGAUUAGGGUUAAGAUUUAAGUUAAGGUUCAGAUUAAGGUUAAGGUUCAGAUUAAGGUUAUUGUACGUUAAGGUUAAAAUUUAGUUUAGGGUUUAGAUUAGGGUUAGGGUUCAGAUUAAGGUUAGGUUAUUUGUUGUUUUCUGGUCCCCACAUGUAUAGCAGUAUACAACUGUGUUCUGUGUGAGUGCUUGUGUGGAUCCUUUUUGUGUUUAUAAUGAUUUGUGGCCUCAAAGUUCAUGAAGUGUGUGCGAGUAUGUCUGACUCACCGUUAAACAUGGUUGCAGGUUGUGCCACGCCUUGGAGAGGUGACAGGGGAGGUGACAGGGGAGGUGACAGGGGAGGUGACAGGGGAGGUGACAGCGGGGGUGACAGCGGGGGUAACUUGAUCAUGUUGGGAUAUGGAGCUGAUGAAUACAGAAUUGAAUAAAUCAUCCACAUGGCAAUCCUGACACAUCUUUAUAAAAUAAUCAAAACAGAAACAUUUGACUUUCACCAAACCGGAUAAAACUGUUUAACAGAUGAAUAGAAACAGGCCAAACUGGAUAGAAUCAACACCAUGGUUACAGUAGAAGGAGACUAGGAAAGACUUGUUAGAGUAGGACUGGACUGGUCAGAACCAGGCUGACCUAAAUAAUACUGGAUAGAACUAGAUAGUUUUUGCGAACCUACACCAAGUGUGCUCUGAAAUGAGUACAACUGGUACCGGACAACUGGUGACCUGUGGGAAGUAACUGUCACCCUGUUCCCUUCUAAAUUUCUGAAGGAACCCGUGAAUUGACAACCGAAGCUGACCGGGAGCAAGAACAUCGCUGCACAACGUCACGGGUCAUGAGCAGAAGACUGUGUGGUGUUUAAAACACGUUUUAUUCCUAGUGUCUGUUUGGGCGUGUGGUUACGCAUACGCGCCACUUGACCUUCUGAGUCCGUUUAUUAAGACGCCGUGAGAUCCUCAUUUCUUAAUUUCACUCAUUUGUCCUGUAUACCUUAUGAUGUAGGAUUAUAUCCUGGUCAUGGGAUUAUACGUAUAUUAUAAAUAUAUUAUAAAAACCCUCACCAGAAGGUUUUUAUGUAGGUCCCCUGUAGGGAAAAUUAUUCUCUGCACAGGGUUUAGGUGUAGGGAAACUCUUCGGGCACACAAUUAGCCAUUGUGUUUAAAACUUAUUUUGGUUUAGGCAUUUCUAGUUAGGGUUAAAUGUUAGGGCUUGGUUAUGUUUAGGCAUAAAAGUUAGGUUAUUGAUGUUAGUGCAGGGAACAGGGAACAUGGUCAGGGUCGGGCUUCAGGUCCCACUUAGUAUAGAAAGACAAGAACGACGGACUGGACAGUAUGUUUUCAAAACGUACUGUUGCAGAAGAUAGCUGGUUGUGCCACGCCCGUGCCAUCCUGACGAACGUUCGGGCUCACGGUGAACUGAGACGCUGGUGAAUUGAAUACAUUUUUAAAGAACUGUCGCACCUUUUCAAAACUCAAAACAAUAUUGACCAACUUGAUAAAUAUCACGACCCCGGUUCAAAUGUGGAGGGAGAACAGGGAAGGGGUAGGACAGAUUAGAACCAAACGGAUCACGUUGAAGCAAGGUAGGGCAGGCUACAACUGAAUGAAAUUUAGCAUUGAUCUUAAUAAAACCUGGUAAGAAUUACAGUGCCAUGCUGGGGAGGUGGAUUCAUGCUUGGUUGAGAAGUAAAUGUUUAAAGUAUUACAAAACUUGUGGCUAGGGCGAUACACAUUUUCCAAACUCCUAAACAAAGCACUAAUAUUUACUUACAAAAAAAGUGGAUGAGCUAGAUACAUUUGGAUAAAACAGAAAGAAUUGGAUAGAAUCCCCACCAUGGUUACUUUAUGGAGGGAUACCUGGGAAGACUGGAUGAAACCAGACUGAACUAGAUAUAAUCCCUAUCAUUGUUACUUUAUGGAGGGAUACCUGGGAAGACUGGAUGAAACCAGACUGAACUGGAUAGAAUCCCCACCAUGGUUACUUUAUGGAGGGAGACCUGGGAAGACUGGAUGAAACCAGACUGAACUGGAUAGAAUCCCCACCAUGGUUACUUUAUGAAGGGAGACCUGGGAAGACUGGAUGAAACCAGACUGAACUGGAUAUAAUCCCCACCAUGGUUACUUUAUGGAGGGAUACCUAGGAAGACUGGAUGAAACCAGAUUGAACUGGAUAGAAUCCCCAACAUGGUUACUUUAUGGAUACCGGGGAAGACUGGAUGAAACCAGACUGAACUGGUUGAAAGCAGGCAGCUUUCAUCCAAAUGCUAUGCAACAGAAUAGAACCAGGUAGAACUGCUGUGGAAUGGAUAGAUCAAGAUGGAACAAAGUAACAAAGAACAGAACUGGAAAGAUCUGGAAAGAACCUGUAAAAAACCAUCAAACUGGAUGGAUUAGGUAGACUACAUAAUCUUCUAGUUCACAUAAACCUGAAAAAUAAAACCAUGGGGGGACUUUUGUUGGGUCCUCACUUAGGAUAAUGUUAUACACAGCCCUGUGGUUAUGUUUAGGGAAAAUAUCCAGUGAGGCAUAGUGUUAGAAUUGGGGAUACUUUUAGGUUUAGGCAUUUUUGGUAAGGGUAAUGUUUAGAUUUCAUCGCUAGUUUAAGUUUAUAGUUGGAAUUUGAGUUAGGCAUUACGAGUUAGGUGUAGGUUUAGGAUUUACAAAACAUAAAAUGUUAUGUUUUUGAGGUUAAGAUUAAAUUCAGGGUUAGCAUUAGCAAAAGUAGGAUUUGUAAGGACAGUAAACUUUGGUGACCCCACUUAAAUAGCUAAGUGAACAUGUGUGUGUGUGUGUGUGUGUGUGUGUGUGAGCGUGUGCAUGUGCGUCAGAUGUGCCACGUGCACAUCCAUGUUGGUGUCACACUGAGAAUGGGAUUGGUUCAUGCAGGACCGGGAGCUGAGCAAUGAAAUACGCUGUUAAAGAAUUACAAAAAAUAUGGAUCAGGACUCAAUGCCCACAAUCAAAAUGUCAACAUACACUGGAUGAGUUAAACCAAAGCAAACAGGAUGAAAUCACCACCUGUGGAGGGUUAGCAGGGGAAAGACGUGUUGGAACCAGACAGAACUGGUAGGAACCAGCUUGACCUGGUCUGGACCUGGACAGAACCUUAUUAAAAACAGACAGAGCUGGAUAUAUCAGUACAAAACCAGAUUAAAAAAAAACCCAGAAAGGUUUUGUUUGUUGCUCAAUCAAUAUCUCACACCUCCACAGAGAUACGGGACAAGAAACUAGUACCCUGACCAACUCACAUCCUGUCAGAGAGGUUGCUACGGUCAGGUGUUGCUGCAAUAGGAUAUUCGGGCCAUACCUUGUGCGUUUGUAACACCACCUUGGUUUUGACUUUGGGGAACUGUGGACGAGAAACAAAUUGAAUUCAAGUAAUUGAGGUUUUGCAAUGCAACAGUUAAGUACCAUCUUUAUUUAGUGUGUGCCUGCGUUCAUGCAACUGAGGACAAAAUAUAUUUUAAAUGUUUAUGUAUAUGUGUGUGGGUGUGUGAAACACAGUCCGUGUGACUGUUUGCCUGUUGUCCCAUGUCUGGGCUGUACUGGGGAUUUGAUGAGUUCAUGCUGGAUUGGGAAACUGAAUGAAUAAAAAAUCUAGCCAUUAAUAAGCCAUUAUGACAAACACCUAUUCAAAAAGAAUCCUCAAAGCAGUGAAGUUUUUCUUCAGUGUGUGUGUGUGUCUGUGUGUGUGUGUUAGUGCAGUUUUGAACACAAAUCAAGAAUUUAAUGUGUGUAUGUGUGUGUGGAUGUGUGUGGAUGUCUGACUCACUGUUUCCUGUGUUUCCAGAUUGUUCCAUGACCUCUUCAUACAGGGGAGAUGACUCGUUCAUGUUGGGUUUGGGAUCUGAAAAAAUACAUACGUAAUGAAUCUAUGGCCAUCGUGACAUAUCUUUUCAGAGAUCAUAAUUUAACAGUAACCUUGUACCAGAAACAAACAAAAAAAAACAGAGAGAAACAGACAGAACAAGAUAGAAUGACCAUCUAGGUAACUGUAGAAGGAGAGCAGGAAAGAUUUGUUAGAACCGGACAGAACAGAGAGAAAGAGAUACAGGUUUCAGAAACCAGUACCCUGACCAUCCUUGUCAGAGAGUUUGCUACAGUCAGGUGUGGCCACGGCUCUUGCCUUUCGGGGCCCUAAACAUUAUUUGAUUAGAGGACUCCCUGCUAUAGCGGGCCUAGUGGUCACAUCAGGAAAUGGAGGCCAAAUCUUGUGUGUUUGUAACAUCACCUUGGUUUUGGCUUUGGGGAAAUGUAGACAAGAAAUCAAUUGAAACAGUUAUUUACCGUCUUUGUCUAGUGUGUGCCUGCAUUCAUGCAUUUGAGGACCAAAAAAAGAUUUUAAAUAUUUGUGUAUGUGUGUGUGUGUGUGUGUGUGUCUGUAACACACAGUCCAGAUUGUUUGUCUGUUGUCCCAUGUCUGGGCUGUACUGAGGAUUUGAUGAGUUCAUGCUGGAUUGGGAAACUGAUGAAUGAAUAAAACAUUUGUUACCAUUAUGACAAACACCUAUUCAAAACUGGUCCUCACAACAAUGAAGUUUUGCUUCGGUGUGUGAGUGCAUUUUUGAAUCCCUGAUUGUGAACACAACAUUGAGAAUUUCAAGUGUGGAUGUGUGUGGAAGUGUGUGUGUGUGUGUGGAAGUGUGUGUGUGUGUGUGUGUGGAAGUGUGAGUGUGUGUCUGACUGACCGUUACCCGUGUCUUCAGGGUGUUCCAUGACCACAUCAUACAUGGGAGGUGUCUGGUUCAUGUUGGUAUAUGGAGCUAAAGACAAUACACACAUAAUCAAUGGCCAUCGUGACAUAUCUUUUCCAAAACAUGGAAUGACCACCUAGGUAGCGGUAGACGGUGAGCAAGGAAGACUUGUUAGAAUCAGACAGAACAGAGAGAAAGAGACACAGGUUUAAAAAUGAGUGGUCGGUGUUCUGGCUCGGGGCGAGACUAGUGACCCGUCACUUAUAGGUGAAUGAGCCACAAAAGACACGUGGAAAAGCUUCGGGCUUCCCGUCCUUCCUUCCAGGCGCGUCACGUGUGCAGCACACAUUCUCUUCACUUCUGCUUUGCUUUAGGCAUUCAUGUUUCACAUCGGUAGUUGUCAUGUUAGUUUGUUUUUUUUGCUCGAACAGAAAGCAGCACCUCUCGAACGCCGGCUUUCUCUCUUCCCGCUAUUCUCUGGCACCUUUCAGAAAAGGGCGCUGAUUAAGUGGUCCAUUUAUAUCCAAGAUGAGAAGAAACUGGCCAUACUCAAGUGGAUGAAAACUGACUGACCCCGGAAAGAACGAUGGUUAUUUAGCUGUAAUGCAGGGUAAUUUGUAGCUCUGUCCCUCAGCAGAUUAGCAGUAAUCCCCGGCCGUUAAUUUCCUCUCAACAUCUAAGGGUUUGGUUUGUUGUCCGACGGACACAAGGGGUUUGCGUCAUGUGACCAAACUCCCAAGUCGAGUACACGACGCGGGAUACUGCAGAUGCGUGUUUUUUCUCAGUCGAUCGUGUGACAGGAUUCCUGGAAUUUCUCCCACGUCACGUAAACUUGACAUACCUGUUUGAUAGUAGCUCAAUCCAAACAGUGUCGGCCCUAGCCAUUUGGGGGCCCUGAGCAACAUUUUAUUUGGGGCCCCCCUCUCUCUUCUAUUGGUCGGGGGGCUCCCUAUCAGUCAGAGACCCCCUAGCGGUCAGGGCCGUAGACGGCCCUUUGUGUUGCGUAUGCCUGGAGCCGGCCCUGACUACAACUCUUUUUUUUUCUUUAGGCAUAUCUUUUGGCUAAUAACAUUGGAGCAUGUUAGUUGUUGUUACAUGUUACAAAGCAUGAGUAAUGUAACAUCCCUUGUGAAUUUCAUGUGCGGUUCCCUAAAAACUAAGCUCUCCGAACCCUUUGGGCAUGACUUGGCCCUUUGGGCAUGACUUGACCCUUUGGGCAUGACUUGACCCUUUGGGCAUGACUUGACCCUUUGGGCAUGACUUGGCUAAAACACAUUUAUUUGGAAAAAUGCUGGUCAUCAUGUACAUCCAGUUGAAAUUAAUCCAACUGGAUAAGAGCGUUUGGUCCGUAAAUGAGUAAAUCCAAAGAUUCCUCGAAUUGCAUCACAACCCCACUGGAAAUAGUUUUCUGGGCAACUACGUGACGUACAGAAAAAAGAAUGUGCCUUGCUACAAGUUAUGGACAAACCAGAGAUGUGACAUUCUGCCAUCUAGUAGAUAUGCCUGAUGUUGUAAGAUGAAUGUGUGAACUACACUAUCUUCAUAUCUCAGACAAACCAUUCCAGUAGAGCAAGGCAGAGUAUUACAAUACAAUCGCAAAUGACAGCAACCAGACAGAGGAAAGGUUUUCAUGACUUGUCUUGGCCCUGGUUUAAUACCCUGAUGGCUUUGCCAAAUAUACUUACAGACAUUAUUCUGUGAAAUAACUCUUUAUAUUAAGAGUUACCAAAUUAUAUGGCACACACUAAUCACUUUUUUGUUUCAGAUUUGGGCUGAUUAAUUUUCAAUUACUGGUCGGUGGUCAUUGGCUGAAUGGAAAGAGGGGAAAAAUAACUUCCAUACAAUUUCCAUUCAAACAAUUAAGUAGAUGCCCUUAUCCAGAGCAACGUCCAGUAGUGAAUGCACAUAUUUUCAAAUUUUUUGAAUAGUUAAAUUAGAUUGGACGUGACAAUAACAUUGCACUUCAGUUUUUCUUCCAUUGUCUUCCAGACUAAUGCAGAAAACACAACAUGAACAUGAGGACUCUAUCCUCCAAAGCUCCACUGCAACACCUCCAGCCACCCUCCACCUUGCCCCAGCUCCUUACCUGUCUGGGGUCCUGGUGGUGUGGUCAGGGCCUCUAUUGUGGAGUUAAAGAGCUGCUACUCCCUUGAGAGAAGGAGAGAAACUGAAAAACACAGACAGAGAGCAAGACUGAAACAUGAAAGAGAAAGAGUCUUGAGAUAGAAAGAGAUAUUUUU
ensembl:lncRNA